UACGAAGGGGGCUAGCGUUGCUCGGAAUCACUGGGCGUAAAGCGCACGUAGGCGGAUCUUUAAGUCAGGGGUGAAAUCCCGGAGCUCAACUCCGGAACUGCCUUUGAUACUGGGGAUCUUGGAGUCCGGGAGAGGUGAGUGGAACUGCGAGUGUAGAGGUGAAAUUCGUAGAUAUUCGCAAGAACACCAGUGGCGAAGGCGGGACUCUGGGCCGAUACUGACGCUGAGGAGCGAAAGCGUGGGGAGCAAACAGG
rnacentral:rRNA from 1 species